rnacentral:rRNA from 1 species
CCUACGGGAGGCAGCAGUGAGGAAUAUUGGUCAAUGGACGCAAGUCUGAACCAGCCAUGCCGCGUGCAGGAAGACGGCUCUAUGAGUUGUAAACUGCUUUUGUACGGGGGUAAACGAAGAUACGCGUAUCUUUCUGAAAGUAUCGUACGAAUAAGGAUCGGCUAACUCCGUGCCAGCAGCCGCGGUAAUACGGAGGAUUCAAGCGUUAUCCGGAUUUAUUGGGUUUAAAGGGUGCGUAGGCGGUCGGUUAAGUUAGAGGUGAAAUCCCGAGGCUCAACUGCGGCAUUGCCGCUGAUACUGGGCGGCUAGAGUGUGGCUGCGGUAGGCGGAAU